GGACACCAAUAAGAAAAAGAGACUUGCUUGGGCCAAGAAACACGAGCAAUGGACAUUCGACCGGUGGAAAUUUGUCCUUUUGGUCUGGAGUUCAAAUUGGAGAUUUCUGGAUCCAACCGCUGUGUCUUUGUGAGACGCAGUGUGGGUGAACAGAGGAUCUCUGAAUGUGUUUUUCCCACUGUAAAGCAUGGAGGAGAAGCUGUUAUGGUGUGGAGGUGCUUUGCUGGAGAUACGGACAAUGACCCAACACAUCCCCCGACCUCAACCAAAUUGAGAUGGCUUGUAACGAUCUUCAUCUGAGGAACAGUUAAGAUCGGACCAAAACGCAGCGUGUUGUCACUUUUGCCUUAUGGCAAGGUGCUCCAUCAUGCUGGAAAAGGCAUUGUUCGUCAC